AAACUUUCCUUCAGAAACUGUCCAGCGACUCGUGGACAUGUGGACAUGCAGGACUUUGUAAUUUGUCAGUAAACUUAUUUAAAAGUCAUCUUAUAUUUAGACAUGGUGGAUUAUUAUAGGAUGCACUGUUUUAGAGGGUGGGAAGAUGUCUGCAUUAUUACAAACCAACAGCAACUCUUCUAAACUUCUAAUUUCACAUAUUUGGCGUUUAUGAGCUCCUAAUAAGUCUGUCGUCCAUACACCAGGGGGCGCUGCUGCACAGCAAGAGGUUAAACUUAUGUGAAUAAAGAACUCUUAUUUUCUGUUUUUUUGUGCAAACUAAUUUGUAAUUUGUGCCUCUUUUAUCUACCCAAACCAAAAGGAGUGCAGAGAUUAGCGUCAGUCUGAAGAGUGGUGGUCAUUAAAGCUACGACCACGGGCGUGUCCUGGUGGCCAGUUGUGAUAUUACAACAGAAUCAAAGCAUCGCUGCUCAAAAAGGAGAGGACUCAGCUGACAGAACGACCAAGAGGACGCUUCCUACGACUCAAAGUAUUAUAGAGGGAAACUGCAUAGAGAGGGACGACUCAAGCUGGUAACUGAAACUACCUGGUGAGGAGAGACUCAAAGCGAUUAUGGUGCUGAAACUGCCUGGGGAGGAAUUACUCAAGAUAUUAAUGGUGGUGAAACCGACAUAAGAUGGACGAUUUAAGGUGUUUGUAUGUUAAAACUGCCUGGGGAAGGAUGAUUCAAGGUGUUGCUUGUGGUGAAAAUACCUGGGGAGGGACGAUGUAUGGUGUUAAUGGUGGUUAAACUGCCUGGAGAGGAAUUACUAGGUAGGAGGAAUUACUCAAGGUGUUAAUGGAGGUGAAACCAAUUAAAGAUGGAUGAUUUCAGGUGUUUGUAUGUUAAAACUGCCUGGUUAGGGAUGACUCAAGGUGUUUGUGUGUUAAAACUGCCUAAGGAGGGAUGAUUUAAGGUGUUAAUGGAGGUGAAACCAACUUAAGAUGGAUGAUUUAAGGUAUUUGCAUAUUAAAACUACCUGGGGAGGGAUGACUCAAGGUAUUUGUACGUUAAAACUGCCUGGGGAGGGAUGAUUCAAGGUGUUGUUUGUGGUGAAAAUACCUGGGGAGGGACGAUGUAUGGUGCUAAUGCUGGGUGAACUGCCUGAGGAGGGAUUACUCAAGGUGUUAGUAUUAUAAAACUACCUGAGGAGGGAUGAGUUAAGGUGUUGCUUGUUGUUAAACUGCCUGGGGAGGAAGGAUUUAUGGUGUUAAUGGUGGUUAAACUACCUGGGGAGGGAUGAUUCAAGACGCAAGAUCAUUAAUUCAAGAGUCACGUGACUAUGCAAAGAAGUUGAGGUUUCCCUAAAAUGGUCCAAACUUCUGCAGCCAUUUUUUUUUACUACUAGCUAACUUUAGCUAGCCAGUGAACUCUGCUACUGUUAAAACAGCUGGACGUCAUUGGCUUCUAAAUACAUGGCAAAAGCUAACGUAGCUUGGUGCUCCUGCUAUUAAAACACAUUAAUACAUGUUGUAUAUUGUCAGUGUGCUACAUUUGUGCUUCAUAUUCUAGCUGGCGCUAAUUUGGCAGUUAAUUGUUUGUGUUAGUGAGCCCGCGAGCUAACUAAAACUACAACGAGGUAAGGCUAAUAUAUGUUAGCAUCCACAUUAGCGAUAUGCUACAGUUAUAAGCAGGUGUUUGAAUAUUUCUGUUUUUGCUGUGUGUUUUGACUUUACCUACUAUUUAAAUUCAGGAAUAAAUCUUUAAAUACUUUAACAUGUCGCUGGUAUUUAAUUUUAAGUGCUGAUAUUCAGUAUUUGUUCAAACUUCAGAUUUGAUCUGCGGCUAAUGAGCUGUAGUACUAAACAAAUACAGUAAAAAUGACAGCGUCAGUUCUAAAGCACUAUUACCUCCUAAUGCACUAUCAAAGGUUAACAUGGAUUAUCUGGGGACUCUAAGGGACUGCAGUCUGUCGGAUAUAGAAUCAAACUGAAGACAGUGUUGACCAUUAAAGUUGCCCAAAUCAGUUGCUAGUGUGUUGAGAAGCAAAGAAAAUG
ensembl:lncRNA